rnacentral:antisense_RNA from 1 species
AUCAAUGGUGGGCUGGGCGGGGGCACCGCAAGGUGCGCCGGUUGCCAACAAAGCCGGUAAGACCAACUCCGUCCAGUCCACCACCAAU